CUCCCAGAUUCUAUAAGAACUUUGCCUGAAACAGGUGACCAAGGAUUCACCCCAUGACGGUGCAGCUGUAGCUCUCCGAUUGGUGCUCGAUGGCAACUAACAAUGUCAGAAAGCCCAUAAAUGCGGACGGCCAAAAUAGAGAAUUUUGGAAUCGAAUUUUUUUCCAAAAAAUCGACACAUAAAAUAUAGAAAAUCUCUAUCUAUAAUUUAAAGAAAAUUAAAAGAGAAAGAUUUUUUAAGAGAUUAUGUGGCUUUUAGGGAUCUUUGGGCCAUAAUAUCACCGGCACAUUGAGAACAAAGGUGGAGGAAAGUGGAAGAAAUAGGAAGAGGAAGAGGGAUUUUUCUGUGAGAAAUCAAAGGAUCUGAGGCCCUUUAAAUAGAUCUCCAAGGGAAAGAAAUAGGAUUUGAUUUAAACUCUUUUUUUCUAAUGAUUCUAGGAUUCUAGAUCGAAGAAGAACUCCUUGGGAUGUUCUUUUGCAUGAUUUCUCCUUUCCACGGAAAUUUCAGCAUGUGCAACACACAUGCUAGCCCAAUUUUUUUUUACUGUCACUUUGAGAUUGGUGCAGGGUAUUACAUUGGUAUUUAGAUUUAUAUGUGAUAUAUAUCGUACACUUCUUGCCCUUAGACAUGAUCACGUGAAUAUU
rnacentral:lncRNA from 1 species